rnacentral:rRNA from 1 species
UACAGAGGUCCCAAGCGUUGUUCGGAUUCACUGGGCGUAAAGGGUGCGUAGGUGGUCGGGUAAGUCUGAUGUGAAAUCUUCGAGCUCAACUCGAAAAUGGCAUUGGAUACUAUUCGGCUGGAGGGUUGGAAGGGGGACUGGAAUUCUCGGUGUAGCAGUGAAAUGCGUAGAUAUCGAGAGGAACACCGGUGGCGAAGGCGAGUCCCUGGACAAUUCCUGACACUGAGGCACGAAAGCUAGGGGAGCAAACAGG